CCUACGGGAGGCAGCAGUGGGGAAUAUUGCACAAUGGGGGAAACCCUGAUGCAGCGACGCCGCGUGAGUGAAGAAGUAUUUCGGUACGUAAAGCUCUAUCAGCAGGGAAGAAAAUGACGGUACCUGACUAAGAAGCCCCGGCUAACUACGUGCCAACAGCCGCGGUAAUACGUAGGGGGCAAGCGUUAUCCGGAUUUACUGGGUGUAAAGGGAGCGUAGACGGCAGCGCAAGUCUGGAGUGAAAUCCCAUGGCUUAACCAUGGAACUGCUUUGGAAACUGUGCGGCUAGAGUGCAGGAGAGGUAAGCGGAAUGCGUAGUGUAGCGGUGAAAUGCGUAGAUAUUAGGAGGAACACCAGUGGCGAAGGCGGCUUACUGGACUGUAACUGACGUUGAGGCUCGAAAGCGUGGGGAGCAAACAGGAUUAGAUACCCCAGUAGUC
rnacentral:rRNA from 1 species